GACGAACGCUGGCGGCGUGCUUAACACAUGCAAGUCGAACGAUGACGACCGAGCUUGCUCGGUCUGAUUAGUGGCGAACGGGUGAGUAACACGUGAGCAACCUGCCCUUCACUCUGGGAUAACCUCGGGAAAUCGGGGCUAAUACCGGAUAUGAGCUCCUGUCGCAUGGCGGGUGUUGGAAAGUUUUUCGGUGAAGGAUGGGCUCGCGGCCUAUCAGUUUGUUGGUGAGGUAGUGGCUCACCAAGGCGAUGACGGGUAGCCGGCCUGAGAGGGCGACCGGCCGCACUGGGACUGAGACACGGCCCAGACUCCUACGGGAGGCAGCAGUGGGGAACAUUGCACAGUGGGCGAAAGCCUGAUGCAGCGACGCCGCGUGAGGGAUGACGGCCUUCGGGUUGUAAACCUCUUUCAGCAGGGAAGAAGCGAAAGUGACGGUACCUGCAGAAGAAGCGCCGGCUAACUACGUG
rnacentral:rRNA from 1 species